UACUAUGGCUUUUCCCGACAUACCAUACAACGACUUUCAUACUACUACUCUGAUGUUGUAGCAGACCUCCAAUAUGGCUCUCACCUGUGUUCACUGCAGGUGGAGGAAUACACUGCACUGACAAAAAGCCCAACACAGAAGAACCUGGACAAUAUGCGCACACAGAAAAAUCCUGAUGAGAAGAAGUUGGAUGGCUACUAUUGGGGUUUUGGAAAAAUGAGCUGCUGAAUAAUGACAUGGCACAAGUUAGGAAGCAAAAGAACAAGCAAGACCUGUUACGUCACCCUCUGUGAGCACAUCCUGGAGAGUUGCUUUUCCGAAACAAGUUUCCAUGGGUGGAAGUCAUUUGCAGACAAUGCUGGAGAAGCAGCGAGAGAACCACAGGGAGUUAUUCAGAAGCAGCUCAGCUGCCUCUGAGACAAGGUCAAAGACAAGCAGAGGAUGCCAGACGAACUCACAGAUCUGCUGAAUGAACAAAGGGACUUGAAGGGCCCAGAGGAGACGGCAAGUGGAGUGCACCAAACCAAAAUGUGAUAAGUGCCCAGCUUCUGAACCAACCUGAAGCUAGCAAGUUUCUUCACAUCAUUGUCGCCAUCUUCUACUGACUGUCAGUUCUGCAGUGUCACAGUGCUUUGUUUGGUCUCAAUGAUAAGUUCGAAUAAAGUAAAAUUCUGGUUUUCUGUGCCAUAACCCCUGCGUUUUACUUCCCCGAAACACCGGGAGGAGACGCAC